GACGAACCGAGCGAACGUUGUUCGGAAUCACUGGGCUUAAAGGGCGCGUAGGCGGGUGCUCAAGUCCGGGGUGAAAUCCCACGGCUCAACUGUGGAACUGCCUCGGAUACUGGGCGUCUCGAGUGUGGUAGGGGUAUGCGGAACUAUCGGUGGAGCGGUGAAAUGCGUUGAUAUCGAUAGGAACUCCGGUGGCGAAGGCGGCAUACUGGACCACUACUGACGCUGAUGCGCGAAAGCCAGGGGAGCAAACGGG
rnacentral:rRNA from 1 species